CCUACGGGUGGCAGCAGUGGGGAAUAUUGCACAAUGGGGGAAACCCUGAUGCAGCAACGCCGCGUGGGUGAAGAAGGAUUUCGGUAUGUUAAGCCCUAUCAGCAGGGAAGAGAAUGACGGUACCUGACUAAGAAGCCCCGGCUAACUACGUGCCAGCAGCCGCGGGAAUACGUAGGGGGCAAGCGUUAUCCGGAUUUACUGGGUGUAAAGGGAGCGUAGACGGUUGUGCAAGUCUGAAGUGAAAGCCCGCGGCUCAACUUCGGAACGGCUUUGGAAACUGGGUAACUGGAGUGCGGGAGAGGUAAGCGGAAUUCCUGGUGUAGCGGUGAAAUGCGUAGAGAUCAGGAGGAACACCGGCGGCGAAGGCGGCUUACUGGACAGUAACUGACGUUGAGGCUCGAAAGCGUGGGGAGCAAACAGGAUUAGAUACCCUUGUAGUC
rnacentral:rRNA from 1 species